UGCAUGGCCGUUCUUAGUUGGUGGAGCGAUUUGUCUGGUUUAUUCCGAUAACGAGCGAGACUCUAGCCUGCUAAAUAGUGGCUGGAUUUUUAUGUCCAGUCUACUUCUUAGAGGGAUAAGCGGUGUUUAGCCGCACGAGAUUGAGCGAUAACAGGUCUGUGAUGCCCUUAGAUGUCCGGGGCUGCACGCGCGCUACAAUGGAAGAAUCAGCUGGCCUAUCCAUUGCCGAAAGGCAUUGGUAAACCGUUGAAACUCUUCCGUGACCGGGAUAGGGAAUUGUAAUUAUUUCCCUUGAACGAGGAAUUCCUAGUAAGUGUGAGUCAUCAGCUCACGCUGAUUACGUCCCUGCCAUUUGUACACACCGCCCGUCGCUGUCCGGGACUGAGCUGUCUCGAGAGGACUGCGGACUGCUGUAUCGAGGCCUUCGGGUCGCGGUAUGGCGGGAAACAGUUCAAUCGCAAUGGCUUGAACCGGGUAAAAGUCGUAACAAGGUAUCUGUAGGUGAACCUGCAGAUGGAUCAUCGUCGAAACCAAAACACAUGGUUCCUUUGAUUAUGAGAAACCAACAUGCAAGAUUUUUCACGACUUUGUCGUGAAACGUUGGGAGUAUCACCCCCGUUAAAGCUCUAUAUUUGAGGUGUCUAUGUAUGACAUGAGUCGUUCAUGAGUGGCGACUGUGAUUGUUCAUGCAAAGUUCCCAUUCCAAUGGUUGGUUAUGGUUGAGCUUGAGACUUAAUGAGUAUUGCUAUAAUACCGCCUCAUUGCAUUUAUAAUGGUGGUUAUGUACAUACGUGUAGUAUGUACGGUACCUGGUUGUCAGGAAACCUUAAUGAUCUCGCCUAGACGCCAUUAUAAAACACAACUUUUUAUGUUUAAAGUUUGCAGAAAUGUGUACACAGAAAUGUGUCACAAUUGACUAGCUUCAGCGAUGGAUCGGUCGAUUCGCGUAUCGAUGAAAAACGCAGCUAGCUGCGUUAUUUACCACGAAUUGCAGACGCUUAGAGUGGUAAAAUUUUGAACGCAUAGCGCCGUUGGGUUUUCCCUUCGGCACGUCUGGUUCAGGGUUGUUAAUGAAACUACUACAGUGUGGCUAGUUUAUAACACUGUUUGUCGAAUGGUAUUUAUUACUUUAUUGUGAUAAUUCCCAUUCCAGUUCAAGAAUAUGAAAUGCAACAUGACGUUAACAUUGUUAACGUUACUGAAUGAUACUGAAUAUAUUACCACUAUUUGAAUGUACUCAAUGAAUAUGAGAUUGAUUCAAAUAGGGACAUGUAUGGUAUUGUAUAUUCRAUGUAUCAUUUAUAUAUUGCAACCUGAACUCAGGCGUGAUUACCCGCUGAACUUAAGCAUAUCAUUUAGCGGAGGAAAAGAAACUAACAAGGAUUCCCUUAGUAACGGCGAGUGAACGGGGAGAAGCCCAGCGCCUGAAUCUUACAGUGUUACACUGUUAAGAAAUGUAGCGUAUAGAUAUAAUUUUCAGUUUGUGCUACAUGUCCAAAGUCCCUUUGAUAGGGGCCACAAUCCUGAGAGGGUGCGAGACCUGUGCGGACAGUGGAGCAAGCUGUACGAUUAUAUCUUAGAGUCGGGUUGCCUUGAAAGUGCAGCCUAAAGUGGGUGAUAAACUUCAUCUAAGGCUAAAUAUAGACGCGAAUUCGAUAGCAAACAAGUACUGUGAAGGAAAGUUGCAAAGAACUUUGAAGAGAGAGUUCAAGAGAACGUGAAAUCGCUGGAGUGGAACCGGAGAGAGUUGACGUAACCGGGUAACUAAGUUUCCUAAUGUCGCUUAAUUGUGACUGCAGGUGAUGUAUGUUGCCUAUGGUUGCGCUGACAGCAUUGGCUGUGCGUUCUGACCCGUUUGUGUUGCCCACUUCGGUGGUGUCUUACUUACGGUUAAGUUUGUCAUGGCUAAUGUUUUAUUCCUGCUUGCAGGGUGUCAGUGUGAAAGUCGACCACCUCUCCCACCCGUCUUGAAACACGGACCGAGGAGUCA
rnacentral:rRNA from 1 species